UACGUAGGGGGCUAGCGUUAUCCGGAAUUACUGGGCGUAAAGGGUGCGUAGGUGGUUUCUUAAGUCAGAGGUGAAAGGCUACGGCUCAACCGUAGUAAGCCUUUGAAACUGGGAAACUUGAGUGCAGGAGAGGAGAGUGGAAUUCCUAGUGUAGCGGUGAAAUGCGUAGAUAUUAGGAGGAACACCAGUUGCGAAGGCGGCUCUCUGGACUGUAACUGACACUGAGGCACGAAAGAGUGGGGAGCAAACAGGAUUAGAUACCCCGGUAGUCCCUGAGCGGG
rnacentral:rRNA from 1 species